GGGGCCAUAGCUCAGCUGGGAGAGCGCCUGCUUUGCACGCAGGAGGUCAGCGGUUCGAUCCCGCUUGGCUCCA
rfam:Caldalkalibacillus thermarum TA2.A1 ctg25, whole genome shotgun sequence.